rnacentral:rRNA from 1 species
UACGUAGGGGGCAAGCGUUGUCCGGAAUCAUUGGGCGUAAAGCGCGUGUAGGCGGACUGGAAGGUCUGGUGUGAAAGCCCGGGGCUCAACCCCGGAGGGUCACUGGAAACCGACAGUCUUGAGUCCGGAAGAGGAGAGUGGAAUUCCUGGUGUAGCGGUGGAAUGCGCAGAUAUCAGGAGGAACACCUAUGGCGAAGGCAGCUCUCUGGUACGUGACUGACGCUGAGGAGCGAAAGCGUGGGGAGCGAACAGG